CAGGUGCCUGGAGCAGGAAGGCUUCUAUUCAUCCUGUGGAAGUGGUAACAAGACACCAUGCUGUCCUUGGGAUUCCUGGCUAUGUAGAUCAUCUAGAAGUGGAGAGAGGAAGGGGAGAAGCAAAACCAGGAUUAGAACAGCAGACAAUGACGUGAGGGUGGGCGUAUUCCACACAGGUGGGUAUUCCUGAUGCUGUGUUUCUGUGCUGUGGCUUUUGUGGGAGGUGGAAAGGGUUCAUGUCAAUCUGCGUAUUGAUGAUAUGUGACCAAUGGACUUUUUUGUUUUUGUUUCUGUUUUUAACAAGUGACGUGUUUUAAGAGGAAAUUGAAGACCAGUCUGAGGUCCUUCAAAGGGGCCAAAUCUGCAUUCCUUUGGCUCCCUACCUUACAGUUUUCCUCCAGGAAAGAUGGUGGCAGCAAGUGGAAGGGGAGAUGUGUCUUCAACAUCCGGGGUCUUAACUGUGGCAUGUGCAUUCUAGUUUCCCUGAGCAGGCAUUGAACCCAGGUCCCUUGCAUUGAGAGCUCAGAAUCUUAGCCACUGGACCACCGCCUUUAUAGCAUAUGCAGUUUUCAUGACUGAUUAAAUACUGCAUUAGCUGAUUUCAUCAAAUCUCUCAUUCUGAGCCACCGUGAAGUGGUUUUUCCAAUCCCCCACGAUUCCUGGAAGGGGAAAGCCCAGACGAACAUCACUGCUUGGGAGUCCUGGUGACCCAAGUGAAGAAGGGAUGUGUGCCUGCAUACUGCCUCACCCACAUCCCUGGUGGUAUCCCUCCUCCUGCUGCUCUUGGCUGAGAUGUGCCCCGGAGCACCUGAUCAGAGGUCAGGGCCCCUAAAUCAGAGGACCAUCGACCCAAAGGAGCUGCAACUGGGACCCACCCGAGAGCUGAGGGGAGGGGCUGCGGAGAGCUGGGCAGCUCACCAGAUCCUUGCCCGAGACUACCCAAGGGAGAGAAGUGGAUUUGCUUGGCUUGUUUCAGUAACAGGGAAGCUGUUGUAGACUGGA